UUUCAUAGAUGGCGUUUCAACCCAGCUACAGAUUACAGUGCAUUUUAAUGCUGCUAUUUUUAUACAAUUAAAUUUAGUUUAAUUUAUUUUUUCGUUUUUUAUUUGUGUUUCAAAUUACUUUUGAAUACUAUGUGAACCUGGUGAAUCCAUCGAAUGGUUUGGUUUCUCGUUUAUUUUGUGUCAAACAAUCAAGUAAAUGUAGUGCAAAAAAACAAAUGAAAAACGGUAAACGGUCGUGGAAAUCGUAUCUGGCCCUAUACUGCGAGUGUGGCUGAUCGGAUUCGCUCUUCAUGUGUUCGAGUGGAUCCGUUUGGGAUUAUCGGUAUCCUUAUUCAUGUAACAAGGUGCAAUGAGAUGAAAAAGCAAGUUUAUGAAGCUAAUGUCGAUUGAAAAAAUUAUAUAAUUUCAAGGAUUCAAACUAGAAUUCCAACCUUGGCGAACGAAAAUUCCAAUUCCAUACCAACCUACAGAAAACAUGGGUAAAGAAACGAAAGGAGAACAAGAAACAAAAGAAACAAAGUUGUGUCCAAUGGAUAUUGCGUGAUGAUAAUUAAGCUAAACAAGAUAACAAGGAGUUAUAUUAAAAGCAAAGAAGGAAAAAUUAAAAAAAAAAUGAAAGAUGUUUCCAAAGAAAAGCCAUUACAAUUUUUUAUGCCUUCUUUGGCUUCGUACCAUUCAUCAUUUGUAAAUCUAGCAUUUCAUUUAACUUGCUCAUCCUCAUUAUCAUCCAUAUCAUCAUCUUCUCACCGCAAAAUGUUAUUACCAACAACAAUUGAUAACAAAGCAAAGCCAAGUGAAGUAAAAACAACAUCAAACGGAAAUGUUGCUGCGACCAAAAUGAAAGUUUAAUGUCAACAAGCAAACAAGUCAAUUGGCAACAAAGACACAUCAUAAUAAGCAAAUAAAUAUAUCCUCUCUGUCCACAAAAAAAGGUAAAAAAGGACUGUGUGAGAAAAGGUGAUAGAGAAGAAGAAGAAGAAGAAGGGGAAAAGGAAAGAUGAGAAGUCCAUAAACAAGAAGAUGAAGAGGCUCCUUAAAGGAUAAUUGGUCAUUCUCCGCGGACUUAACCUUUUUUGCGCUCAAAAUGUACCAAUUAUGUUGAUACGUUUUCUCACAAAACGUCAACAGAAGAAAGUUGCGUGUAAAUUGUAAAUAUGCGUGUUUAUGUGGUUUUUAUUCUUAUUUUUUUCUUCUCCUUUCAUCAACAACAUCAACAACUACGUCAACAGCGGCAAAUGAUCGUCUUAAUUCAUUCAAUUUCUCAACAAUGAAAGAGUAAAUGAUGAAAUAAUUUUAAUGUGACAUGAAGGAAAAGUAAUGAUUCAAAUUUAGACUUUUGUUUUCAUUUUAAAAAUGAACCUUUUUGUUUCUUCCAUCAUUAUUCAACAUUAUUCACUGCAUUUAUUGAUUACCAUCUCGUAUCCUGAUUGAUCAAUGUUUAUGGGUUUACCUUACCAUUUGUAAAACCAUUUCAAACUGAUUUUCAAUUUAUCACAAGAAAAAAAAGAGGAAAAAACA